GAUGAACGCUGGCGGCGUGCCUAAUACAUGCAAGUCGAGCGAACAGAUGAGGAGCUUGCUCCUCUGACGUUAGCGGCGGACGGGUGAGUAACACGUGGAUAACCUACCUAUAAGACUGGGAUAACUUCGGGAAACCGGAGCUAAUACCGGAUAAUAUAUUGAACCGCAUGGUUCAAUAGUGAAAGACGGUUUUGCUGUCACUUAUAGAUGGAUCCGCGCCGCAUUAGCUAGUUGGUAAGGUAACGGCUUACCAAGGCAACGAUGCGUAGCCGACCUGAGAGGGUGAUCGGCCACACUGGAACUGAGACACGGUCCAGACUCCUAAGGGAGGCAGCAGUAGGGAAUCUUCCGCAAUGGGCGAAAGCCUGACGGAGCAACGCCGCGUGAGUGAUGAAGGUCUUCGGAUCGUAAAACUCUGUUAUUAGGGAAGAACAAAUGUGUAAGUAACUAUGCACGUCUUGACGGUACCUAAUCAGAAAGCCACGGCUAACUACGUG
rnacentral:rRNA from 1 species